rnacentral:rRNA from 1 species
CCAGACUCCUACGGGAGGCAGCAGUGGGGAAUAUUGCACAAUGGGGGAAACCCUGAUGCAGCAACGCCGCGUGGGUGACGGAGCGUUUCGGCGCGUAAAGCCCUGUCAGCGGGGAAGAAGAAAGACGGUACCCGACCAAGAAGCCCCGGCUAACUACGUGCCAGCAGCCGCGGUAAUACGUAGGGGGCAAGCGUUAUCCGGAUUUACUGGGUGUAAAGGGAGCGUAGACGGCGCGGCAAGUCUGAAGUGAAAGGCAGGGGCUUAACCCCUGAACUGCUUUGGAAACUGCCAUGCUAGAGUGCUGGAGAGGUAAGUGGAAUUCCUAGUGUAGCGGUGAAAUGCGUAGAUAUUAGGAGGAACACCAGUGGCGAAGGCGGCUUACUGGACUGUAACUGACGUUGAGGCUCGAAAGCGUGGGGAGCAAACAGGAUUAGAUACCCCUGUA